CAGUUGCUCAGUUGUUCACUGCUCUUAGCAACAACUGAGCAACAUAGAACAACUGAGCAAGAAAGAGCAAGUGAGCCAUAAAGAAUAACUUAAAAGGAACAUGUUCACUUGCUCACUUCAGUGAGCAACUCAUAAGCAACCCAACACUACAACGAAGAAAAACUGCAACAAUAAAAUUGGCAGGGCCUGAGUUGGACAUGACGUUUCCCCUUCCCCUCUACAAAAAACUUAGCUGGACAUAAUAUUCAUUUUAAAUGUUACAUUUCUAAAUCUAUAACAACAUUGUAAUAAUUCUUAUAUUCUUUUAACAGGUUCCUUAGCAUUGUAAACAAAAAUUCGGCAACGGAUUUUAAAUAACUUGCCAAUCGAUGGUGUGGCAAGACGCUAUUGUGUAUAUUGUAAAAAAAAAAACAAGAGCGCUCCGCCCCCUGCUCGCUUCGCUUGCGGAGAGGUCCGCCUACAGUCGAGGACGCUCGACAGUAGGAUCCCAUGUACUCUUUUAUAAAAGUUGGUUUUCGACCAACUGUUUCUAUGGCAAUUACAUGAUAAAUGGAACCAAAUUAUACCAAAUUUGGUCAGAAUGUAAAAAACAAA